GCGCCCGUGGCUCAACUGGAUAGAGUAACGGACUUCGAAUCCGUUGGUUACAGGUUCGAAUCCUGUCGGGCGCACCA
rnacentral:tRNA from 1 species